GACGAACGCUGGCGGCGUGCUUAACACAUGCAAGUCGAACGGAAAGGCCCGGCGUUUGCUCGUUGCUCGAUUGGCGAACGGGUGAGUAACACGUGUGUAACCUGCCCUUGACAUUGUGGUAAAUUCAGGAAACUGGGGAUAAUACCGGAUAUGAGAUCCUGCUGCAUGUUGUGGGUUAGAGAGUUUCGGCGGUUCUGGAUGGACUCGCUGCUUAUCAGCUGGUUGGUCGGGUAGUUGCUUACCAAGGGUUUGAAGGGUAGCCGGCCUGAGAGGGUAACCAGCGACAUGGGGACUGAGAUAGGGAGCAGAAUCGAACGGGCGGCAGUAGUGGGAAACAUUGCAGAACGGGGGGAAGUCUGAUGUGGAAACCCCGCGUGCGGAAUGCCGGGUUACGGGUUGUAAACAGCUUUCGCAUGAAACGAAGAGUGAGUGACGGUAAUGAGUCAAGAAGCACCGGCUAACUACGUG
rnacentral:rRNA from 1 species